rnacentral:rRNA from 1 species
GAGCCGCGGUAUUUUGACCGUGCAAAGGUAGCAUAAUCAUUAGUUUUUUAAUUGAGAACUUGUAUGAAUGGUUGGACAAAGGAAAAGCUGUCUCUAUUAUAAAAAUUGAAUUUAACUUUUAAGUGAAAAGGCUUAGAUAUUUCAGGGGGACGAUAAGACCCUAUAAAGCUUUAUAAGUUAAUUAAAUUUUAUUGAUUUAAAUAUUAAAGAUUUAAUUUAAUUGUUUUAUUUUAUUGGGGCGAUAUAAAUAUAAGUUAUAUUAACUGUUUAAAAUUAAUACAAAAAUAUUUGGUUUAAAAGUUAAAGAUCCUUUUUAUAGAUUUUAAGGCUAAGUUACUUUAGGGAUAACAGCGUUAUUCUUUUUAAGAGUUCAUAUCGAAAAAAGAGUUUGCGACCUCGAUGUUGAAUUAAAAUAUCUAUAUAGUGCAGCUGCUAUAAAAGAAGGUCUGU